rnacentral:rRNA from 1 species
AUUGAACGCUGGCGGCAGGCCUAACACAUGCAAGUCGAACGAGUGGCGGACGGGUGAGUAAUGUCCGGGAAACUGCCCGAUGGAGGGGGAUAACUACUGGAAACGGUAGCUAAUACCGCAUACCAUCGGAUGUGCCCAUAUGGGCUUAGCUAGUAGGUGGGGUAACGGCUCACCUAGGCGACGAUCCCUAGCUGGUCUGAGGAGAUGACCAACCACACUGGAACUGAGACACGGUCCAGACUCCUACGGGAGGCAGCAGUGGGGAAUAUUGCACAGUGGGCGAAAACCUGAUGCAGCCAGGCCGCGUGUAUGAAGAAGGCCUUCGGGUUGUAAAGUACUUCCAGCGAGGAGGCGUUACUCGCAGAAGAAGCACCGGCUAACUCCGUGCCAGCAGCCGCGGUAAUAC